UACGAAGGGGGCUAGCGUUGUUCGGAAUUACUGGGCGUAAAGCGCGCGCAGGCGGCUAUCCAAGUCAGUGGUGAAAGCCCGGAGCUCAACUCCGGAACUGCCAUUGAAACUGUUUAGCUUGAGGAUGAGAGAGGUGAGUGGAAUUCCCAGUGUAGAGGUGAAAUUCGUAGAUAUUGGGAAGAACACCGGUGGCGAAGGCGGCUCACUGGCUCAUUACUGACGCUCAUGCACGACAGCGUGGGGAUCAAACAGG
rnacentral:rRNA from 1 species